CGGCGGACGGGUGAGUAACGCGUGAGUAACCUGCCUAGUACAAAGGGAUAGCCUCGGGAAACCGGGAUUAAUACCAUAUGACACUAGCCUACCGCAUGGUAGAUUAGUUAAAGCGAUUAAGUGGUACUAGAUGGACUCGCGUUUGAUUAGCUAGUUGGUGAGAUAAAAACUCACCAAGGCGACGAUCAGUAACCGGCUUGAGAGAGCGAACGGUCACAUUGGAACUGAGACACGGUCCAAACUCCUACGGGAGGCAGCAGUGGGGAAUAUUGCACAAUGGAGGAAACUCUGAUGCAGCGACGCCGCGUGAGUGAUGAAGGUCUUCGGAUCGUAAAACUCUGUCCUUUGGGAAGAUAAUGACAGUACCAUUGGAGGAAGCCCCGGCUAACUACGUGCCAGCAGCCGCGGUAAUACGUAGGGGGCGAGCGUUGUCCGGAAUUAUUGGGCGUA
rnacentral:rRNA from 1 species